GUGAGCCAGUACAGGAUGGACCCGCGUCUGAUUAGCUAGUUGGUAAGGUAACGGCUUACCAAGGCGACGAUCAGUAGCCGACCUGAGAGGGUGAUCGGCCACAUUGGAACUGAGACACGGUCCAAACUCCUACGGGAGGCCGCAGUGGGGAAUAUUGCACAAUGGGCGAAAGCCUGAUGCAGCAACGCCGCGUGAGUGAUGAAGGCCUUCGGGUCGUAAAACUCUGUCCUCAAGGAAGAUAAUGACGGUACUUGAGGAGGAAGCCCCGGCUAACUACGGGCCAGCAGCCGCGGUAAUACGUAGGGGGCUAGCGUUAUCCGGAUUUACUGGGCGUAAAGGGUGCGUAGGCGGUCUUUCAAGUCAGGAGUGAAAGGCUACGGCUCAACCGUAGUAAGCUCUUGAAACU
rnacentral:rRNA from 1 species